rnacentral:rRNA from 1 species
GUUUGCGCUUCUGUUGGUAUGCGCUGUUGAGUAUGUCAUCCGCGAGGAGGCUGCUCUUCAGUUGUGUAUUAGUGGUUGCGCUUAUAGCAUAGGGUCUAAGCUUCCUGAUCUGUAGAGCGCUUGCUGCUGUGCUUGGUGCAAGGUACCUUGCCGCGAGGUGAGGACAUACAGGUGCUGAGUGUGGUAGUGAGUUCUACAGUGAAAACUGGUUCUUGAUGGAUCUCCUCAUUCGAGUGACGCUGCUGCUUAGCACACUUGGCGUAGGCUCUUUGAGACUGCGCUGAGACCGUGCGGCGUAGCUAGCUUGGUGUGGAUUUGAUCCUUCGGAUCAGGGUUGACUAGUAGAUGGUAGCCCGACCCGUCUUGAAACACGGACCAAGGAGUUUAGCAUGUGCGCGAGUUAUUGGGUAUUACGAAACCUAAAAGCGCAGUGAAAGUGAAGGUUCGCGCGAGUGAACCGAGGUGUGAUCCAGAUUUCAUAGUGCGCGAGCACUGGAGUUUGGCGCAACACCAGCUCGUCCCAUGCUUUUUUAAGCGGGGCGAAGCAAGAGCGCACACGCUGAGACCCGAAAGAUGGUGAACUUUGCUUGCAUAGGUUGAAGCCAGA